rnacentral:lncRNA from 1 species
AGGUAAUUCUCUCCCUUUGAUCAAUUAAUUAUACAAAAAAAUCCAUUAAAAAAACCCAAAAAUAGGGAGGACACCAAAAAAAAUAGAAGAAAAUUGUAAUAAAACAUUUAUUCUUCGAGGUGGAAGAACCAUGUUUCCCACAAAUGAACUCGCAAUGGCGAACAUGAAUAGGCUCUGAAAGCCCGUUAAAGAGCUCAAUCGAACAAGAAGACCCAAUUGUUGAGGAAUCAAAACAGAGCUGGUUUCUAGGGAGGGAAUGACAUUAAGGUAACCACAAAGAGGAAACAGUUGGUAGGUCGUAGUCUCGCAAAGCAAUGGCACACAAAGAUCAAAGAGAAACCCCUCUUCGUAAGAUUGAAUAGAGAGAGAUGAUAGAGAGAUGGGUUCACAGAUAAGAGAGAACUAGAAACCCUAAUUCUUCGUUGCAAUACAGAGAGGGAGAUAAACGAGGAUCCAAUCCCCACCAUUCAUCUUCCAUAAACGUACAGUGGGGAUUAGGUCUUUUGAAAGUUUAAAAUAAUAUAUAUAUAUAUAUGGAAAAAGUUUAUAUAAGGUUUCAACUUUAUAAUGUAGAUCUAUGGAUGCACUUCAAAAAUCCAUCGGAAAGGGUAGUUUUAAUGUUGAAAAACCCUUUCAUUGAUCAUCUUGACAUCGAGAUGUAUGACCAUGAAAAAUAAAAAGAUUUUAAGUCUCAGAAAUAGUGCAUUUUACAAUAUAUUAUCAACACCAUCCAUUUUCAAGAUUUUCAUAUCUUUAUAAAUCUACUUGAUUUUAAC